rnacentral:rRNA from 1 species
GAUGAACGCUGGCGGCGUGCCUAAUACAUGCAAGUCGAGCGAACAGAUGAGGAGCUUGCUCCUCUGACGUUAGCGGCGGACGGGUGAGUAACACGUGGAUAACCUACCUAUAAGACUGGGAUAACUUCGGGAAACCGGAGCUAAUACCGGAUAAUAUAUUGAACCGCAUGGUUCAAUAGUGAAAGACGGUUUUGCUGUCACUUAUAGAUGGAUCCGCGCCGCAUUAGCUAGUUGGUAAGGUAACGGCUUACCAAGGCAACGAUGCGUAGCCGACCUGAGAGGCUGAUCGGCCACACUGGAACUGAGACACGGUCCAGACUCCUACGGGAGGCAGCAGUAGGGAAUAUUCGGCAAUGGGCGAAAGCCUGACGGAGCAACGCCGCGUGAGUGAUGAAGGUCUUCGGAUCGUAAAACCCUGUUAUUAGGGAAGAACAACUGUGUAAGUAACCAUGCACGUCUUGACGGUACCUAAUCAGAAAGCCACGGCUAACUACGUG